GGGGGAUAUUGCACAAUGGGGGAAACCCUGAUGCAGCGACGCCGCGUGAGUGAAGAAGUAUUUCCGUAUGUAAAGCUCUAUCAGCAGGGAAGAAAAUGACGGUACCUGACUAAGAAGCCCCGGGCUAACUAC
rnacentral:rRNA from 1 species